rnacentral:lncRNA from 1 species
CGAUAUCUAAAUUAAUUAGCCGGACAUGCUAAACAGGUCUAAACAGUUAUCAUGCUUAAAUAAAACCAUAUCAGGAAAACAAUAUAAAUAAACAGUAAUGCAGGGCAUAUAUAAAUUAAAACAAUAAAUUAAAGAACCUGAAUAAUUAAUAGCAAUCUUGAACACUCCACCACAUACCGGUUGGAUUUGUUCUUGAAUUCUUCAAUCGGAC